CUCGGGUGGGAGAGGCGGGAGCGUGUCUCCGUCCGGGCUGACCAAAGACGGAAGACGGGAGUUCUAGAGGCUGGGAAGUCCAAGAUCAAGGUGCUGGCAGAUGGCAGAUUCAGUGUCUGGUCACCACCAACUGGAAGAAUAUGGGAAAGGUCAAAAGGAAAUGGCAGUCCACAUGUCCUACCUACCUCCCAGAAUUCUCCUCGCCAGAGUUCAUCUUGGCUGAGAGAUGCACACGCCACCGGAAAGGACCCUAAGUCAGAGUGAUUGGCCAGAAACAACCCGGAAACCCACCCCAUCACCAUAAAACCUGAGACUGCGAGCCACGUGGCAGAGCAGUUCUCCUGGGUUCCCUUACCCUCCUGCUCUCCGCCCAGGCGCCCUUUCCCAAUAAAGUCUCUUCCUUUG